GCUUUUCGGUUUAAAAGCCGCCCCGGAAGUUUUGGCUCCUCCAUAGUUUGAAUGGCGCGUGUGUGGAGAGUGUACGUGAGAGAGUGUUUGGCGACUGCUUGGUUGAGUGAGUGUUGUGUGUUUGUGAGUGUGAAUGUGUAUUCCUGUAAAAAACCUACACAGUGAUCUUAUUUGAUCCGAUCUGAGUUCGGCUCUGCUCCGAUCGGAGAUGAUAGGAAAAACGCUCGCUAGCCUCCGGGGCGAUGAGCAGCAGGCAAGAUUUAAACCUCCAGGGCCUUCCACUGCUUCAUGCUGUGGUGAGAGAUGAUGAAUUGAUCAGAUAUACUAGUUCUGGGUGAGUUUGAGGUCCACCUCAAACUUCACAAUGGACAAUGAGUAAAGAGGCGAUUCUGAUCUAA